rnacentral:tRNA from 1 species
GCAAGUAUGGGAGAGUGGUUUAAUCCGUCAGAUUUAAGCCCUGAUGUCGAAAGACUCCUGGGUUCGAAUCCCAGUGCUUGCA